UAUACGGAGUUACAAAAGAACAUGUUAGACGAAUCAUCUGGAAAGAUGAAUCAAAGAAGGUAAUAAUCCUGUAGUCGAAAACAUAUUCUCUCUUGAGUGGAUCCUGAGUACGACGGAGCACGUGAAAUUCCGUCGGAAUCUGGGAGGACCAUCUCCUAAGGCUAAAUACUCUCUAGUGACCGAUAGUGAACCAGUACCGUGAGGGAAAGGUGAAAAGUACCCCGGAAGGGGAGUGAAAGAGAACUUGAAACCGUGUGCUUACAAGUAGUCAGAGCCCGUUAAUGGGUGAUGGCGUGCCUUUUGUAGAAUGAACCGGCGAGUUACGAUCUGAUGCAAGGUUAAGCAGCAAAUGUGGAGCCGCAGCGAAAGCGAGUCUGAAUAGGGCGUUGAGUAUUUGGUCGUAGACCCGAAACCAGGUGAUCUACCCUUGGUCAGGUUGAAGUUCAGGUAACACUGAAUGGAGGACCGAACCGACUUACGUUGAAAAGUGAGCGGAUGAACUGAGGGUAGCGGAGAAAUUCCAAUCGAACUUGGAGAUAGCUGGUUCUCUCCGAAAUAGCUUUAGGGCUAGCCUCAAGUGAUGAUUAUUGGAGGUAGAGCACUGUUUGGACGAGGGGCCCCUCUCGGGUUACCGAAUUCAGA
rnacentral:rRNA from 1 species